GCUUAGCAUAUAUUAUUGAUGUUGCAGUUAAAACGUUCGUAGUCGACCUUUGUCUACUAAUGUGUGCAAGGUCUUCGAUCUUGUCUCACUGUCGGUAGAUAUUGUGUAGCUGCUAUACAUGUUUCAUGUGUUGUAUGCUAUACCUUACUUUGAGUGAAUCGGCGUGUUCCACGCAGGCAUUUGCCUUGAACGAUUUACCAUAGAAUAAAUAUAUUAUAGCAAUAUUUCUCCGUCUGUUCGGGAAUAUUGUUAUAAUGAUAAGAACGGUUGAGGGCAUUCAUAUUCAACUGCCAGAGGUGAAAUUCUUUGAUUAGUUGAGGAUGAACAAUGGCGAAAGCAUCUGCCAAGGACGUUUCUUUUUGAUCAAGAACGAAAGUUAGGUGAUCGAAGACGAUUAGAU
rnacentral:rRNA from 1 species